GAUGAACGCUAGCGGGAGGCCUAACACAUGCAAGCCGAGCGGUAGAGUUUCUUCGGAAACUUGAGAGCGGCGCACGGGCGCGUAACACGUGUGCAAUCUACCUUUAUCUGGGGGAUAGCCUUUCGAAAGGAAGAUUAAUACCCCAUAAUAUAAUGAUUGGCAUCAAUUAUUAUUGAAAACUCCGGUGGAUAGAGAUGGGCACGCGCAAGAUUAGAUAGUUGGUGAGGUAACGGCUCACCAAGUCAAUGAUCUUUAGGGGUCCUGAGAGGGAGAUCCCCCACACUGGUACUGAGACACGGACCAGACUCCUACGGGAGGCAGCAGUGAGGAAUAUUGGACAAUGGGUGAGAGCCUGAUCCAGCCAUCCCGCGUGAAGGAUGACGGUCCCAUGGAUUGUAAACUUCUUUUGUACAGGGAUAAACCUACCCUCGGGAGGGUAGCUGAAGGUACUGUACGAAUAAGCACCGGCUAACUCCGUG
rnacentral:rRNA from 1 species